UGGCUCUCCCAUCGAUGAAGAACGCAGCGAAAUGCGAUAUGUAAUGUGAAUUGCAGAAUUCAGUGAAUCAUCGAAUCUUUGAACGCACCUUGCACCCUUUGGUAUUCCGAAGGGUAUGCCUGUUUGAGUGUUAUUAAAUUAUCAACCACUUGAUUUCUUUUGAAGUCAUUUGGCUUGGAUGUGAGGGUUGCGGGCUUCGUCAAGAGGUCGGCUCCCUUUAAAUGCAUUAGUGGAAACCGUUUGUAGGAUUCAUUUCACUUGACGUGAUAAUUAUCUUCGUCUUGUUGGUGUCUCUGAGGUAGCUGCUUCUAACCGUCUCUUCAAUGAGACAAUUUAAUGAUUUUGUUUGACCUCAAAUCAGGUAGGACUACCCGCUGA
rnacentral:misc_RNA from 1 species